AGCAGUAGCCGCGGUAAUACAGAGGGUGCGAGCGUUAAUCGGAUUUACUGGGCGUAAAGCGUGCGUAGGCGGCUUCUUAAGUCGGAUGUGAAAUCCCUGAGCUUAACUUAGGAAUUGCAUUCGAUACUGGGAAGCUAGAGUAUGGGAGAGGAUGGUAGAAUUCCAGGUGUAGCGGUGAAAUGCGUAGAGAUCUGGAGGAAUACCGAUGGCGAAGGCAGCCAUCUGGCCUAAUACUGACGCUGAGGUACGAAAGCAUGGGGAGCAAACAGGAUUAGAUACCCCGGUAGUCACUGUCUCUUAUAU
rnacentral:rRNA from 1 species